AUUGAACGCUGGCGGCAGGCCUAACACAUGCAAGUCGGACGGUAGCACAGAGAGCUUGCUCUCGGGUGACGAGUGGCGGACGGGUGAGUAAUGUCUGGGGAUCUGCCCGAUAGAGGGGGAUAACCACUGGAAACGGUGGCUAAUACCGCAUAACGUCGCAAGACCAAAGAGGGGGACCUUCGGGCCUCUCACUAUCGGAUGAACCCAGAUGGGAUUAGCUAGUAGGCGGGGUAACGGCCCACCUAGGCGACGAUCCCUAGCUGGUCUGAGAGGAUGACCAGCCACACUGGAACUGAGACACGGUCCAGACUCCUACGGGAGGCAGCAGUGGGGAAUAUUGCACAAUGGGCGCAAGCCUGAUGCAGCCAUGCCGCGUGUAUGAAGAAGGCCUUCGGGUUGUAAAGUACUUGCAGCGGGGAGGAAGGCAGUGAGGUUAAUAACCUACUGAUUGACGUUACCCGCAGAAGAAGCACCGGCUAACUCCGUGCCAGCAGCCGCGGUAAUACGGAGGGUGCAAGCGUUAAUCGGAAUUACUGGGCGUAAAGCGCACGCAGGCGGUCUGUUAAGUCAGAUGUGAAAUCCCCGGGCUUAGCCUGGGAACUGCAUUUGAAACUGGCAGGCUUGAGUCUCGUAGAGGGGGGUAGAAUUCCAGGUGUAGCGGUGAAAUGCGUAGAGAUCUGGAGGAAUACCGGUGGCGAAAGGCGGCCCCCUGGACGAAGACUGACGUUCAGGUGCGAAGCGUGGGGAGCAAACAGGAUUAGAUACCCU
rnacentral:rRNA from 1 species